UUCAAGACAAACAUAAUUCUCGACUGUGCCUGGCUAAAUUUUGAGGAUAUUAUUGGAUCGCUGGCAUCUCUUGACAGUGUUUUGCCGCUAGGGGUGUUGGAUGCAAGAUCCCACACAACCUCCCUUGAAAGUGAUUGAGAAAGUGUUGUUAAUUUAAAGGUUUCUUGGUCAAGCCAUGAGUAAGCUCUGCAAAAUUACAGAUUUUGCCAUGAGCUCCCAAUUGGAUACUUGAGCUUUAGUCCUCUCGAAAUUACAGAUUUUGCCAUGGCUCUGCAAAAUUCGCUGAGUAAGCCUCUUUCAGUGUGGAAGAGAGCAUCUUCGCCGCCCAUUCUUGCCACGUCAGAAGCACCUUCAAACCUUUGGGCUGUUCACUGUUCAUUUAUGGUAAAAAUAAAUACCCAACAGCAAAACAUGAAUUAAGUGAGAUGUUGGGCCUUGGUUAGGCCCAACUGCUUAAUUUUGGGUCCAAACAGGGAGUUUUGGAUGACGUGAGGCGGCUCCGAGGGUUCUGCCGGCAUGCAAACUGGUGGCGGCGAAUCUUGCCGUGAUCACGAUCACGGAGGAGGUGUUGAAAAAGCUCGGCGUGGACGCUUAUCGCUGCAUUUCAGGAUGAGCGCAAUUUUUGUCCGAUACGCCGGCAUGAGUCGCAGACGGAUGAUCAUGCAUACGAGAGCUGGAAGGAGGCCGAAGAAGAUAGAAAAGGGGCUUCGAAUGCGAUUCGAGGGGGUGAAUACAUAUAUGUUUAAUGUUUAAAGGAUGAUAUUUGGUUCAACAGUUUGUCAAAUUUGCAGCUUCGUCCAUAAAUUCAUAUUCAUUCCAUCGCAUUAAGCAUGGCCGUGAUUGUGUGCUCUGUUUCUCUGGUAAGGUAUGUUGUGAUUCAGACAAAUAAUACAGCAAAUUUGGUUUCUCUGGUAA